GUGCGCAAUGACUGAUACUAGAGUCUGCUUGUGAAUAACUCCCCCUUAUUUUCUGUCCUUGCUCAGCCAUGCUGAAACAGUGCUCACAGAUGUGAGACCAGCAGCAGCGACAGAAAGGCUUUGUCAACAUCAGCAAAUCACUGUUUCUACCUCUGCAAGGUCAGCUUCUGAAGGCAACGUGUUCAAGACCACAGCUCCACAAUUGGCUGUUGCCCUCAGCUGUUGAGUUGUUCUGCAAAGCUGUAUUCAUACAGAACUUGAAUACCAUGUGCAAAAGAAGAAAAAAAAAAUGCAAAAGACUCAGAAAAAGGCAGCAAGAAUGAUCAAAGGUCUGAGGAAGACGUGACUGAACUGCUUGGAUUCUUCAGUUCAGAGAAUAAACGAGCAAGAGUAGUCCGAAAUGAUCAGAAGAUCCAUGGGAAUAGAAGCGUUCAGAAGGAAGAAGGGUGAAGUCUGUCUCAGAUAAGUCAUCUCCACAGCAGCGGGUAACAGGCUAUGCUGGUAAUUCCUGUGGGGAGUCCACCUGGGAUGCUGGCACUGGAACCUCUGCACUACCGCCCAUUCCCAGGCAGGAUUUCAUCCCUUUAAGAGGACUGUCCGAGUUCCUACCUCUAGUGUUGUAGUCUGCUUGAAAACUCAGACAUCAAUAAAACCAUUAAGGUUCCAGAAGAAGCUCUAAGAGGAAGUGCCAGAACUUUGUUAGGGAAAGAUUGCAGUCCCUGAGGAGGCCUGGCAAGAUAAUAAAGAUAGCAGUGUGCUCUGCAGAAGACUGAAAGGUGGAGGAAGCAGACAAGAUGGAAAAGUUAAUAGGAAGAAGGAAAAGUGUAAAAGAGUUCAUGAGAAAAUUUUCAUAUGCAGCACCUGGCCCGUUGCAGAUCCAAGUGCAGCCAUGGUACUGCUGUGAACGCUACUGAUCCUGAGUGAAGGAAUCCAUGCAGAACAUCGUGAACACAUUGCUAAAUCAUAUUUGCGAAACACCGCUUCCUGCUGAUACCCAAAUAUUAGUAUGGUUCUCUGUCUCCUUGAUUUAACCUGUAGCCUAGACAAGGCUCAUCAAGGAAAAUGACUGAAGUAAUUUCCAUCCUCCCUCUUCUAACAAUUUAACACUGUGUUGUAAUACUUGCAGGCUGCUUCCCACCAGAGAUGGAACUGGCUCCUGUGGCUUGGGAUGAAACCACAGGUGGCAGCUGUCUGUGCUGUAGGUCAGUGGUUAGCAUCAGCAGUUUUCUGUGGAAGAUCCCAUGGAUGUCUGUCUGGGUCCCCGAGAGUUCCACGGAAAGCCGAGGAGUGAAUCCAAGGUAAAGGAAGGUAACUUUGUGAUACAAAUGAAACCAACACAUUUUCACCUACAUUUUUGCUUUUCAUUAAAAUGGUUCCAACUGUGGAGGCACCAGCUAAGAAGAAUAUGAGCUUAGGUCCCUGUUGGAAGCAAUUGUAGUAAGGGGAGAUCAAUGCAAGACUUUUUACAUUCAAUACAGGGUACAAGUUAUGGACCUAAGCAGAUAAAGUAUCUAUAAACAUCACACCAGCGGAGGCAUGGUCAGGAGAUAACAAGGGAAAACCACACCAAAGUCCCUGUUCUUUGGCACUUACAAGCUUAAUUAAAGGGUAAUAUAAUCAAACUGGUAAUUAAUCAUAAACUUUUUAUCAUGGUAGACAUUCCCACCAAAGACUCCAAGGCCCAUUUUGCUAUCAAUCUAACUUCACUGAGUACACGCACUGAGUAUUUCCCUGCUCUGAAGUAGCUUUAUGGGCAUCUGCAGAAUCACACUCAGAUAAAAUCAUCCUGAGGAGAUAAUCCCAAGAUAAGAGGAUCCUUCCUUAAACCUAGCUACAUACAUAGACUCAAAUAAAUGGUUUUGAAUCCAUAUUCCUACUGGCCAAUAGGAAAUUUUACU